rnacentral:rRNA from 1 species
CGCAUUUCUGGCGAGAGGAAUUGGUCCGACAUUUAUUGUGGGUACUCGAUUCUCUCUCGCCAUCCUUGAGUGGUCCGUUCUGGCAUUUAGUUGUCGGAGCGUCAGCCGCUCAUCGUUUACCGUGAGAAAAUUAGAGUGUUCAAAGCAGGCUUAUGCCGUUGAAUAUAUUAGCAUGGAAUAAUAAGAUAGGACCUCGGUGCUAUUUUGUUGGUUUGCGCACAGAGGUAAUGAUGAACAGGGACGGUUGGGGGUAUUUGUAUUUCGUUGUCAGAGGUGAAAUUCUUAGAUUUACGAAAGACAAACUACUGCGAAAGCAUUUACCAAGGAUGUUUUCAUUGAUCAAGAACGAAAGUAUGGGGAUCGAAGAUGAUUAGAUACCAUCGUAGUCUAUACCAUAAACUAUGCCGACUCAGGAUGGGCGGGUGUUGUAUGACCUCGUCUGCACUGUAUGACAAAUCAGAGUCUUUGGGUUCCGGGGGGAGUAUGGUCGCAAGGCUGAAACUUAAAGAAAUUGACGGAAGGGCACCACCAGGAGUGGAACCUGCGGCUUAAUUUGACUC